rnacentral:rRNA from 1 species
GACGUAGGUGGCGACCGUUAUCCGGAAUUAUUGGGCGUAAAGGGUGCGUAGAUGGCCUGAUAAGUUAGCAGUGGGAAAUCGAGGCUCAACCUCGUGGAAGCUGGUAAUACUGUCAGGCUCGAGUGCAGGAGAGGUUAACGGAACUCCAUGUGGAGCGGUAAAAUGUGUAGAUAUAUGGAAGAACACCAAUAACGGCGAAGGCAGUUAACUAUUCUGUUACUGACAUUGAGGCACGAAAGCGUGGGGAGCAAAACGG